AUUUUGACAUACUGCGGUUAAAGUGCAACAAAAAAUAUAUUUGACUAGCUGGUUCUCAAUAUGAAUCGCGCUUUUAGCAGGAAGAAAGACAAAACAUGGAUGCAUACUCCAGAGGCUUUAUCAAAACACUAUAUCCCUUAUAAUGCAAAGUUUCUUGGCAGUACAGAAGUGGAGCAGCCCAAAGGUACAGAGGUUGUGAGAGAUGCGGUAAGAAAACUGAAGUUUGCAAGACAUAUCAAGAAAUCUGAAGGCCAGAAAACCCCAAAAGUUGAGUUACAAAUCUCAAUUUAUGGUGUAAAAAUUCUAGAUCCAAAAACAAAGGAAGUCCAGCACAACUGCCAGCUCCACCGGAUAUCAUUUUGUGCUGAUGAUAAAACUGACAAAAGGAUAUUUACUUUCAUAUGCAAAGAUUCUGAGUCAAAUAAGCACUUGUGUUAUGUAUUUGACAGUGAAAAGUGUGCUGAAGAAAUAACUUUAACAAUUGGUCAAGCAUUUGACCUGGCUUACAGGAAAUUUCUGGAAUCUGGUGGAAAAGAUGUUGAAACAAGAAAACAGAUUGCAGGGUUACAGAAAAGAAUUCAAGAACUAGAAACAGAAAAUAUAGAACUGAAAAAUAAGGUACAAGAUUUGGAGAAUCAAUUAAGAAUAAAUCAAGUGCAUACGUCUCCACUGCUGCAUAUAAAGUCUGAUAAUGAUCAACACAUGUUUCAAAGACCCUCCACCUUUUACUGGUGUAAUAAUGAGGAUUCAACUCCUUGUUUAGAUAUCUCUUCCAUUACAUUUACUCCUAUGAGCUCUCCUGACUCCAGACUAUCAUCUGGGCUAUUAACACCACCACCUUCCAAAAGUGGUCUUCCAAAGCCAGUCAGUGAAUUCAGCAUCCCAAGACCUCGUGUAAUCCUGCUGUGCAAAAACUUUUUCCCCACAAUUUUCUUAUUCUCUGUUGUGUAUCAUUUGUAUUAAAAUAUACAUUUUGUACAGUGGUUAUGGGAUAGAUCAGACAUAUUUUACAUUUUUUUCUUGGUACUCCUAAUAUAUGGGAACUUUUCAGGCUUUCUACCACUCAUAUAUAUCCUUGAACUAAUCUCUUCUCUAUUUUUACAUUAAUGAUUUUUCUGUAUAUACUACUUUUAAUGAGUUCAUUUUUUGGUAAAAUAAUGAUACUAUUUACAGAUAUUUAUGUUAUUCAAGGCAAAGUGCCCCAAAAGUUUGAUGUGGAAGGGUUUCAAUAUCUUUCAGUAAAAAAAGAAAAUUUGGUAGAAGUUUUGAUCAGCUGAAAGAGAAAUUGGCAAUUACAUUUCCUUUAGAAUAGUUUUUAUGAACUCUGUGCAAAAUGGAGGCCAUAGAUAAUUGUAAUCCAAAAUGAUCUGUAACAUGUAUGUUUACUGACUUACCAUAACAAUAUGUUGAUACAACCUUUUAUUCAUUUACAAAUAACAUUCAGCUACAUUUGGCAAACAUUAUCAUGGCUUUCUGCAUGUGGUUACUAAAUUAAAAUGCUUCUCAUGUGCAUCUAGAUUUCAGUAGCACACAUUUAUUUUCAGAUUAACCAAUACUAUAUUUUACUUUAAGAUAGUUUUACUAAUGUUGUCAAAAUGUCCAGUAAAUACAAGACAUCAGCAUAUCAAACAUCAACAUGUGAAUGAAAAGUUUUUUUAGCAAAAAGACUCAUUUAAGACUAAACUUAAAUGCCAUUUACUUAUUGAUCUAGUUUCUGCAUAGCUCUAAAAAGUGCUCAUAAUUAUUACCCACAAGUCAGUCUUCAGUAUCAGUUGGCAUUUUCCCAGUAACACCAAUGGGUAAGCUGCACAUCAAAUUAUGGUAAUAUAUGACUCAUGCAGACAUGUGGGGCCUGAUUCCAUACCUUAUGAAAUAAGGAUUACUGUUUGCACAAGGGGUAUGAAAUCAGGUUCACUCCAUGUAUUACAAAUUAUACACACAAUUACACACGCAAUUCCCAUGGUGUUAAUAGGAGUCCCCUGUGCAGAUUACCAGAGUUCUACUGCACAUAACUGUACUCUUGAAUCUUUGCACCUUAAACUAUUUCUGAAUUCAUGUACUAACACCUGUUGAUGUUAACAAGAACUGCAUGUGUGUAUAAAACUUCCUAUAAACUAUUUGUUCCAUAAAAGAAGUUGAGCACUCAUCUUGACAGGGAUUAAUAAUGUCUGAGAUGUAUUUAUUUUAAAUAGAUUUAAAAAAAAAAGACAGACCAAGAUUUUCAAAUAUGGAUCCCUUGAUAUAGGCACUUCAAUACGCUUAAAUAAAUAUAGCCAAAUUAUCAGAGGUAUUAAGACUAUCUAAAUCCCAGAAUUCAAUAGUAACAUUUGAAUUCCAGAUGUCUGAAACAAAAUAGUCUGACUCCCUCCAGCCUACAACCUUUAAAAUAU